AUUGAACGCUGGCGGCAGGCCUAACACAUGCAAGUCGAGCGAGCGGCGGACGGGUGAGUAAUGUCGGGGAAACUGCCUGAGGGAGGGGGAUAACUACUGGAAACGGUAGAUAAUACCGCAUAUCAUAAGAUGUGCCCAGAUGGGAUUAGCUAGUAGGUGGGGUAAUGGCUUACCUAGGCGACGAUCCCUCGCUGGUCUGAGAGGAUGACCAGCCACACUGGGACUGAGACACGGUCCAGACUCCUACGGGAGGCAGCAGUUGUGAAUAUUGCACAAUGGGCGAAAGCCUGAUGCAGCCAUGCCGCGUGUGUGAAGAAGGCCUUCGGGUUGUAAAGCACUUUCAGCGGGGAGGCGUUACCCGCAGAAAAAGCACCGGCUAACUCCGUGCCAGCAGCCGCGGUAAUUC
rnacentral:rRNA from 1 species